UGUAAGGUCAGACAGCUGAUCCUGAGCGGACUCGUGUCUGAUUCGCAUACGCGGACGCGACAAACUAAACCGGCGCGCGCCGCCUAGAGUUAUAGGCUCCGCCUACGCGCGCUGAGCCGACCAAUGUCUGCACCCGCAGACGUGGACGCGCCUACUAGCGUGUACGCGCAUGAGCCAAGAUCUCUGGACUUUCUUUGCUGGAACACGAACCUCCACCGUCUCGCCGAGUGCCAGCAAGAGUCAUGAGUACUUGUCAACUCGACUCCUCAACUGGAGAUAACUUUCUAGCACCUCACCAUGGGGAAGGAUGUAUUCAUAUGCCUUCACCAGCACCUGCAUUAAACAUGCAGAGAGUUACACAAGUUCUUACCACCUUGGGGCACCAUUCAGGGUGCCUUUUCAUCUGAUUACAUUUAUAAUGAACAGGGACAUUGCGGUUGUCCCAAGUGGAUGGUAUGAUGAUAGGAUGGUUUUCUGGCCCAGCUAUAAAAAC